AUGGGUUCGACCUGAGCUCGGGCAAGGCUACC
rnacentral:rRNA from 1 species